rnacentral:piRNA from 1 species
UGGGAAGUUCGAAUUCGGUGCAGAACCCA